rnacentral:rRNA from 1 species
UAGGGAAUCUUCGGCAAUGGGGGCAACCCUGACCGAGCAACGCCGCGUGAGUGAAGAAGGUUUUCGGAUCGUAAAGCUCUGUUGUAAGAGAAGAACGUGUGUGAGAGUGGAAAGUUCACACAGUGACGGUAACUUACCAGAAAGGGACGGCUAACUACGUGCCAGCAGCCGCGGUAAUACGUAGGUCCCGAGCGUUGUCCGGAUUUAUUGGGCGUAAAGCGAGCGCAGGCGGUUUAAUAAGUCUGAAGGUAAAGGCAGUGGCUUAACCAUUGUUCGCUUUGGAAACUGAUAAACUUAAGUGCAGAAGGGGAGAGUGGAAUUCCAUGUGUAGCGGUGAAAUGCGUAGAUAUAUAGCGCAACACAGGUGGCGAAAGCGGCUCUCUGGUAUGUAACUGACGCUGAGGCUCGAAAGCGUGGGGAGCAAACAGG